AACGAACGCUGGCGGCAGGCCUAACACAUGCAAGUCGAACGCCCUCUUCGGAGGGAGUGGCAGACGGGUGAGUAACGCGUGGGAACCUACCCAGUAGUACGGAACAACACAGAGAAAUUUGUGCUAAUACCGUAUACGCCCCCCGGGGGAAAGAUUUAUCGCUAUUGGAUGGGCCCGCGUUGGAUUAGCUAGUUGGUGAGGUAACGGCUCACCAAGGCGACGAUCCAUAGCUGGUCUGAGAGGAUGAUCAGCCACACUGGGACUGAGACACGGCCCAGACUCCUACGGGAGGCAGCAGUGGGGAAUAUUGGACAAUGGGCGCAAGCCUGAUCCAGCCAUGCCGCGUGAGUGAUGACGGCCCUAGGGUUGUAAAGCUCUUUCAACGGUGAAGAUAAUGACGGUAGCCGUAGAAGAAGCCCCGGCUAACUUCG
rnacentral:rRNA from 2 species